rnacentral:rRNA from 1 species
GAUGAACGCUGGCGGCGUGCCUAAUACAUGCAAGUCGAGCGAACGGACGAGAAGCUUGCUUUUCUGAUGUUAGCGGCGGACGGGUGAGUAACACGUGGAUAACCUACCUAUAAGACUGGGAUAACUUCGGGAAACCGGAGCUAAUACCGGAUAAUAUUUUGAACCGCAUGGUUCAAAAGUGAAAGACGGUCUUGCUGUCACUUAUAGAUGGAUCCGCGCUGCAUUAGCUAGUUGGUAAGGUAACGGCUUACCAAGGCAACGAUGCAUAGCCGACCUGAGAGGGUGGUCGGCCACACUGGAACUGAGACACGGUCCAGACUCCUACGGGAGGCAGCAGUAGGGAAUCGUCCGCAAUGGGCGAAAGCCUGACGGAGCAACGCCGCGUGAGUGAUGGAGGUCUUCGGAUCGUAAAACUCUGUUAUUAGGGAAGAACAUAUGUGUAAGUAACUGUGCACAUCUUGACGGUACCUAAUCAGAAAGCCACGGCUAACUACGUG